UUUCUCUUUUUCCUUUCCUUUUCCUUUUCUUUCACUUGUAAACAGUCAGGAUUCCUUCAGACAAAGAGAACGACCUGGCUUUAUCAUAUAUUGUGAAAAUUUUAUUGAGCUAAUUUGCAGGCUAGAAAACAAUAAUCCAAGAAGUUAACUACCUGUCAGUGUUAAUCCCAUGCACCAUGAUAUGCAACAGAAGAGAAGCCAGAAGAUUACUCUGCAAGUUGUAAGUAGAGCACCCAUGCAGUUGUAAUAAAAUAGAGCUUUCAACGGUGCUGUGGAAAGUUAGAGGUGACAAGCUGAACUAAUAAGAACAUCUAUCCCGCAGGUGAAUGAGUAAGCAGAGUGAUUUUUCAGCUCAGUAUCAGCUUAAUACAUAUGCCAGAAAAGGAGGGAUAGUGUAGAACAUAAACCCACAUUUUGUGGGACAGAAGAGGAGAUUGUUGCUGGUUUAUUGGCUGACCUGCAGUUAGACAGAGAGCCUAGCCCUUGCCUUGGAGGUGACUGCUGGAAUUUUUUCCUGCAUGAAAGAUAUCUAAAUCUACAAAUAUUAUUUGGUGAGAGGAGGCCAAAUUUGGACCUGUCAACUUUGACACAUCUCCUAAAAUAUUCCAAAUGCUAGCAAUGGUGUGUAAGAGAGUUGUAACAAAGGAGAGAUUUUCAGCUCUUUUAACAGAGAGCUAUUUAAUCACACUUUCUUGUAGAAGCAUUCAGUGUGAAGAUCUGUCAAUAGAAAUCUCAAACUGUGAAUAUACAAUUGCACUUUAUUAUCCCUUUGUUAUUUUGUAACUGCAUAGGUAUGACAGACAGAAACUGAUGUUAAAAGAAAUCCGCAAUUGUCAGUGUGUCACAUGCAUGAAUCCCACUGCUGGAAGUUUUUCAGUAAAUCAGCAUCUUUGGGGCCUGGAAACCAGCCACACAGAGAACAGAGAGAGAUCGAAGCAUCUGGUGAACUUCAGAGUUCCAUCUUUUGUGAAAGAUGAAGAGACUGGAGCAAAACUCUGCCUGAGGGUUUGUUUUGGUUUUGGGGUUU
rnacentral:lncRNA from 1 species